GGCAGACGGGUGAGUAACGCGUGGGAACGUGCCCUUUGCUACGGAAUAGUCCUGGGAAACUGGGGGUAAUACCGUAUGUGCCCUUCGGGGGAAAGAUUUAUCGGCAAAGGAUCGGCCCGCGUUGGAUUAGCUAGUUGGUGAGGUAAAGGCUCGCCAAGGCGACGAUCCAUAGCUGGUCUGAGAGGAUGAUCAGCCACACUGGGACUGAGACACGGCCCAGACUCCUACGGGAGGCAGCAGUGAGGAAUUUUCCGCAAUGGGCGCAAGCCUGACGGAGCGACGCCGCGUGAGGGAUGACGGCCUUCGGGUUGUAAACCUCUUUUAUUAAGGAAAAAGGCAAUCGUGCUAACACCACGGUUGUUUGAUGGUACUUAUUGAAUAAGCCCCGGCUAACUACGUGCCAGCAGCCGCGGUAAUACGUAGGGGGCGAGCGUUGUCCGGAGUUACUGGGCGUAAAGAGCGUGUAGGCGGUUGAAAAAGUCAGGUGUGAAAUUCUUCGGCUUAACCGAGGGACUGCGCCUGAAACUUUUCGACUGGAGUUUGGGAGGGGCAACUGGAAUUCCUGGUGUAACGGUGAAAUGUGUAGAUAUCAGGAGGAACACCCGUGGCGAAGGCGGGUUGCUGGACCAAAACUGACGCUGAGACGCGAAAGCGUGGGUAGCAAACAGGAUUAGAUACCCUGGUAGUCCACGCUGUAAACGAUGAGUGCUAGGUGUAGGGGGUAUCGACUCCUUCUGUGCCGCAGUUAACGCAUUAAGCACUCCGCCUGGGGAGUACGGCCGCAAGGUUAAAACUCAAAGGAAUUGA
rnacentral:rRNA from 1 species